AAAUUGUUUUGGUGUAUUGACGACGACGACGACGGAGAAAGAAAGACGAAUUUCCAGGCAUAUUCUGGUUUAAAAUUGGCUGAUCCUUCUUUUUUGUAUUCCAGUGUUGCAGUGGAUUUGAACAAACUUCCUUUUUGCGAGGGGUGUGCCCCGCUUUUCUAGAUGCGCGCGUUUUUAUUAAAGUUGGAAUUGGUCUGUGAUUUAGAAUCGAUGUGGGUAGUUACAGUAAUGUAUAAUGACAUCAGGUAUUACAACAAUGUUCACAGAAAAUAUAUAGAGUUCGAUUUGAUUUGAACAUAUAUUUUUAUAUCUGAGAAAACUACAAGAUUAUAAGCAGCAGGUUCUGCUUCUUAUGCAGAGAAAAUGUAGCUUUUGAAACAAUUAUUGUCUUAAGAGAAUAAAUUAAUUAAAUUGAAAUUUUACGUUACAUGUAUUAAUCAAUCAUAAAACGAGAAGUGACUGACCCAUCUAAUUGAAAUCAAACAGUGGUCCACUGACGUCAAACAAUAAAGAUU
rnacentral:sRNA from 1 species